rnacentral:misc_RNA from 1 species
GCAUGGCAUGCAUUGAUCACAUACUAACGUGUUCAGUGUUUUAUGAGUUGGGUUUCCCCUCAUGAGCUGCUGGCUUGUUUGUGGUGAUUGAUCUUCCAAUGGGACGACGCAUGAGUGGUGAUUAGGAUGUGUUUUGAUGCAGGCUCUGCGUAUUUUACGUUGAACUGUGUUGAGCUGUCCAUUUCAAUGGUUCGUUGCUGCGGCUUGUCUUUGCUGUUGCAAAAUGAUUUGGUGGUUUCUGUGUUAUCUACCGAUUUCGGUAUGAGCGAUUGAUAGAAUCUGUUGUGGUUUGUUCUUUUCGCUGCUGGCUUGUCCAGUAAGGUGGACGUUGCAUUGGUCUCCUAUGUUCCUUGCAAGUUUUCCCUUUAUGGGCGUGGAUUUGUAAUGGCUCAUAGGUGGUUGUCUUUGCUCUUUGGGUAUGUGAAAUAUCUGGUUAUUGUUUGGGUCUUUGACCUAUACAUAUCAUAUCUUGAGCAUGUAGCCUUAUUUUGUCCGACCCUCGUGCAUGUUCCUAAGCUCAUUGAGCUUUAGUGCUCAUUGUUCGUCAUGGAGAUGCCGAGGUCUACGAGGAAUGC